rnacentral:ncRNA from 1 species
AGUUGAGGACGACCUCACGACGCACUGCGUGAUCAUCCGGGGACGGCCCCA